rnacentral:rRNA from 1 species
AGUGAACGCUGGCGGUAGGCCUAACACAUGCAAGUCGAACGGCAGCACAGUAAGAGCUUGCUCUUACGGGUGGCGAGUGGCGGACGGGUGAGGAAUACAUCGGAAUCUACUUUUUCGUGGGGGAUAACGUAGGGAAACUUACGCUAAUAUCGCAUACGACCUACGGGUGAAAGCAGGGGAACUUCGGACCUUGCGCGACUGAAUGAGCCGAUGUCGGAUUAGCUAGUUGGCGGGGUAAAGGCCCACCAAGGCGACGAUCCGUAGCUGGUCUGAGAGGAUGAUCAGCCACACUGUAACUGAGACACGGUCCAGACUCCUACGGGAGGCAGCAGUGGGGAAUAUUGGACAAUGGGCGCAAGCCUGAUCCAGCCAUACCGCGUGGGUGAAGAAGGCCUUCGGGUUGUAAAGCCCUUUUGUUGGGAAAGAAAAGCAGCAGGUUAAUACCCCGCUGUUCUGACGGUACCCAAAGAAUAAGCACCGGCUAACUUCGUG